GGAAAAAAGUUAUUACAACUUGUUUUUAUUUCUUUUCCAUUUUGCAUGUGUGAGUGCUGCCUUGUAGCGUUCAACUAGAGACUCUUAAAGAGCCUGUGUGGCUCACCUGUAUCUUUAACAAUGGUAACUUUUUGGUAAAAAUACCUUGUAAAUUUUCUAUCUACAUUUGUAACUAUUAAACUUUUCAAGAUGAGAGGCAAAAACUAUAAAAAAUGGUAAAAAAAAAAAAAGGAAGUUAUGGUAUGAUUGCCAAUGAAAAAUGAAUUAGACAACUCUCCACAAAAGACCAAAAUGACACAGAAAUUAACAACUAUAGGUCAUCGUACGACCUUGAACAAUGAACAAAGCCCACACUACAUAGUCAGCUAUAAAAGGCCUUGAAAUGACACUGUAAAACAAUUCAAACGAGAAAACUAACAGCCUUAUUUAAAUAUAUGUAACACUUAAACAAAUGACAACCAC
rnacentral:lncRNA from 1 species